rnacentral:rRNA from 1 species
GACGAACGCUGGCGGCGUGCUUAACACAUGCAAGUCGAACGGAAAGGCCCUGCUUUUGUGGGGUGCUCGAGUGGCGAACGGGUGAGUAACACGUGAGUAACCUGCCCUUGACUUUGGGAUAACUUCAGGAAACUGGGGCUCAUACCGGAUAGGAGCUCCUGCUGCAUGGUGGGGGUUGGUAAGUUUCGGCGGUUGGGGAUGGACUCGCGGCUUAUCAGCUUGAUGGUGGGGUAGUGGCUUACCAAGGCUUUGACGGGUAGCCGGCCUGAGAGGGUGACCGGCCACAUUGGGACUGAGAUACGGCCCAGACUCCUACGGGAGGCAGCAGGGGGGAAUAUUGCACAAUGGGCGGAAGCCUGAUGCAGCAACGCCGCGUGCGGGAUGACGGCCUUCGGGUUGUAAACCGCUUUCGCCGGUGACGAAGCGUGAGUGACGGUAAUGGGUAAAGAAGCACCGGCUAACUACGUG